rnacentral:lncRNA from 1 species
UAGUCUCUCAUAGAAACUUCUGGCCUCUGGACACUGUGGGAGCAACUUUUCCUUUAUUAGACUGUCUCCUCUUUAACUGUACCUAGAAGAUACUUUAGCACAGCAAGCAUCUCUUUUAUGCUUACAUUAUGCAGUUAUGCAGACUUGGUGUACGUCCUUCAAGGACAGUCUAAGAAUCUUUGAUUCUAUUUCUGCUGGAUACAUUGUUGCAGAGAUGUAAGAAGGAAGGACUUAGAAAAGUAUGCUAUAAGAAUUGAAUGCUCAGAGGCAAGCUAACUUCACAAGGAGAAAAGAAAGAUGGAAACAGCCUAGACAAACUCAAAUCAAGUCCAGGAGACUUACGCUAGAGUUGCUUUUUCUAAUAGAAGAGACCAGUGUGCAAUUGUGAAUUGUGAUGCUGAGGCAAGCCCCAAGGAUGAAGAGAAUUAAAUAGAGGAGGAAGAGAAGAGGAAUAUUGCAGCAUGACUGGGAAGCCUGUCCUUCAUUACUUCAAUUGAAGAAGAAGAAUGGAGUCCAUCCGGUGGCUCCUGGCAGCAGCUGGAGUAGAGUUUGAGGAAGAACUUUUUGAAACCCAUGAAGAGUUUGAGAAGUUAAUCCAAGGUGGAACCCUGAUGUACGAGCAAGUGCCCAUGGUGGAAAUCGAUGGAAUGACUUUGAAGAGAAGGAGAUGAACCUUGAAUACAUCCUCCACCGAGCUACAACAAGAUUCUUCCCCGUUUAUGAGAAGGCCCUGAGAGACCACGGGCAAGACUUUCUUGUGGGCAAUCGGCUGAGCUUGGCUGAUGUCCAGCUCCUUGAAGUCAUCUUAAUGGCUGAAGAAUGCAAAGCCAGUGUUCUCUCGGGUUUCCCUCUGCUACAGGACUUCAAGGUGAGAACCAGCCAAAUUCCUACAAUUAACAGCUUCCUCCAACCUGGAAGCCAGAGGAAGCCUCCUUUGGAGGAGCGAUCCAUUGGGACUGCAAAGGACAUAUUCAAAUUUGAAUGAGGACUGUUUCUUAAAAACAUGAGCAAUAUAGUAGCUGAGUAUUAACAGCUACAGAGGCUGGAGUUACUCAGUAAGUAUACUGAGUAACUUGACACUGCAUUCAUAAAAAGACACUCACUAAGUAUAUGGCCAGAGAAAUAUCCUGAAGUUAGUAAUAAAUGUUAGGAAUCUUAGUAUGUUAGCAAUGUUAGAAUGUUAGUAAUGGAAAUAUUAAAUGUGUAAGAGAAAAACUACUAGAAGCUUAUCAAUAAACUACAAGAACCAACUCUUGUUUGAAGUAAGACAGGCUACCAAGACAGAAUUCAGAAAAUCCAAGGAGCCCUCGGCCUUCUGUAUGAUCCUAGAAUAAACUUGUAUGUAGCAAGUGAAA